GAUAAACGCUGGCGGCGUGCCUAAUACAUGCAAGUCGAGCGAAUGGAUUGAGAGCUUGCUCUUAUGAAGUUAGCGGCGGACGGGUGAGUAACACGUGGGUAACCUGCCCAUAAGACUGGGAUAACUCCGGGAAACCGGGGCUAAUACCGGAUAACAUUUUGAACCGCAUGGUUCGAAAUUGAAAGGCGGCUUCGGCUGUCACUUAUGGAUGGACCCGCGUCGCAUUAGCUAGUUGGUGAGGUAACGGCGCACCAAGGCAACGAUGCGUAGCCGGCCUGAGAGGGUGAUCGGCCACACUGUGGCUGAGACACGGCCCAGACUCCUACGGGAGGCAGCAGUAGGGAAUCUUCCGCAAUGGACGAAAGUCUGACGGAGCAACGCCGCGUGAGUGAUGAAGGCUUUCGGGUCGUAAAACUCUGUUGUUAGGGAAGAACAAGUGCUAGUCGAAUAAGCUUGCACCUUGACGGUACCUAACCAGAAAGCCACGGCUAACUACGUGCCAGCCGCCGCGGUAA
rnacentral:rRNA from 1 species